rnacentral:rRNA from 1 species
UUAAGCGACUAAGCGUACACGGUGGAUGCCCUGGCAGUCAGAGGCGAUGAAGGACGUGCUAAUCUGCGAUAAGCGUCGGUAAGGUGAUAUGAACCGUUAUAACCGGCGAUUUCCGAAUGGGGAAACCCAGUGUGAUUCGUCACACUAUCAUUAACUGAAUCCAUAGGUUAAUGAGGCGAACCGGGGGAACUGAAACAUCUAAGUACCCCGAGGAAAAGAAAUCAACCGAGAUUCCCCCAGUAGCGGCGAGCGAACGGGGAGGAGCCCAGAGCCUGAAUCAGUGUGUGUGUUAGUGGAAGCGUCUGGAAAGGCGCGCGAUACAGGGUGACAGCCCCGUACACAAAAAUGCACAUACUGUGAGCUCGAUGAGUAGGGCGGGACACGUGGUAUCCUGUCUGAAUAUGGGGGGACCAUCCUCCAAGGCUAAAUACUCCUGACUGACCGAUAGUGAACCAGUACCGUGAGGGAAAGGCGAAAAGAACCCCGGCGAGGGGAGUGAAAAAGAACCUGAAACCGUGUACGUACAAGCAGUGGGAGCNGUGACUGCGUACCUUUUGUAUAAUGGGUCAGCGACUUAUAUUCUGUAGCAAGGUUAACCGAAUAGGGGAGCCGAAGGGAAACCGAGUCUUAACUGGGCGUUAAGUUGCAGGGUAUAGACCCGAAACCCGGUGAUCUAGCCAUGGGCAGGUUGAAGGUUGGGUAACACUAACUGGAGGACCGAACCGACUAAUGUUGAAAAAUUAGCGGAUGACUUGUGGCUGGGGGUGAAAGGCCAAUCAAACCGGGAGAUAGCUGGUUCUCCCCGAAAGCUAUUUAGGUAGCGCCUCGUGAAUUCAUCUCCGGGGGUAGAGCACUGUUUCGGCAAGGGGGUCAUCCCGACUUACCAACCCGAUGCAAACUGCGAAUACCGGAGAAUGUUAUCACGGGAGACACACGGCGGGUGCUAACGUCCGUCGUGAAGAGGGAAACAACCCAGACCGCCAGCUAAGGUCCCAAAGUCAUGGUUAAGUGGGAAACGAUGUGGGAAGGCCCAGACAGCCAGGAUGUUGGCUUAGAAGCAGCCAUCAUUUAAAGAAAGCGUAAUAGCUCACUGGUCGAGUCGGCCUGCGCGGAAGAUGUAACGGGGCUAAACCAUGCACCGAAGCUGCGGCAGCGACACUAUGUGUUGUUGGGUAGGGGAGCGUUCUGUAAGCCUGCGAAGGUGUACUGUGAGGUAUGCUGGAGGUAUCAGAAGUGCGAAUGCUGACAUAAGUAACGAUAAAGCGGGUGAAAAGCCCGCUCGCCGGAAGACCAAGGGUUCCUGUCCAACGUUAAUCGGGGCAGGGUGAGUCGACCCCUAAGGCGAGGCCGAAAGGCGUAGUCGAUGGGAAACAGGUUAAUAUUCCUGUACUUGGUGUUAUUGCGAAGGGGGGACGGAGAAGGCUAUGUUGGCCGGGCGACGGUUGUCCCGGUUUAAGCGUGUAGGCUGGUUUUCCAGGCAAAUCCGGAAAAUCAAGGCUGAGGCGUGAUGACGAGGCACUACGGUGCUGAAGCAACAAAUGCCCUGCUUCCAGGAAAAGCCUCUAAGCAUCAGGUAACAUCAAAUCGUACCCCAAACCGACACAGGUGGUCAGGUAGAGAAUACCAAGGCGCUUGAGAGAACUCGGGUGAAGGAACUAGGCAAAAUGGUGCCGUAACUUCGGGAGAAGGCACGCUGAUAUGUAGGUGAAGUCCCUCGCGGAUGGAGCUGAAAUCAGUCGAAGAUACCAGCUGGCUGCAACUGUUUAUUAAAAACACAGCACUGUGCAAACACGAAAGUGGACGUAUACGGUGUGACGCCUGCCCGGUGCCGGAAGGUUAAUUGAUGGGGUCAGCGGUAACGCGAAGCUCUUGAUCGAAGCCCCGGUAAACGGCGGCCGUAACUAUAACGGUCCUAAGGUAGCGAAAUUCCUUGUCGGGUAAGUUCCGACCUGCACGAAUGGCGUAAUGAUGGCCAGGCUGUCUCCACCCGAGACUCAGUGAAAUUGAACUCGCUGUGAAGAUGCAGUGUACCCGCGGCAAGACGGAAAGACCCCGUGAACCUUUACUAUAGCUUGACACUGAACAUUGAGCCUUGAUGUGUAGGAUAGGUGGGAGGCUUUGAAGUGUGGACGCCAGUCUGCAUGGAGCCGACCUUGAAAUACCACCCUUUAAUGUUUGAUGUUCUAACGUUGGCCCCUGAUCGGGGUUGCGGACAGUGUCUGGUGGGUAGUUUGACUGGGGCGGUCUCCUCCUAAAGAGUAACGGAGGAGCACGAAGGUUGGCUAAUCCUGGUCGGACAUCAGGAGGUUAGUGCAAUGGCAUAAGCCAGCUUGACUGCGAGCGUGACGGCGCGAGCAGGUGCGAAAGCAGGUCAUAGUGAUCCGGUGGUUCUGAAUGGAAGGGCCAUCGCUCAACGGAUAAAAGGUACUCCGGGGAUAACAGGCUGAUACCGCCCAAGAGUUCAUAUCGACGGCGGUGUUUGGCACCUCGAUGUCGGCUCAUCACAUCCUGGGGCUGAAGUAGGUCCCAAGGGUAUGGCUGUUCGCCAUUUAAAGUGGUACGCGAGCUGGGUUUAGAACGUCGUGAGACAGUUCGGUCCCUAUCUGCCGUGGGCGCUGGAGAACUGAGGGGGGCUGCUCCUAGUACGAGAGGACCGGAGUGGACGCAUCACUGGUGUUCGGGUUGUCAUGCCAAUGGCACUGCCCGGUAGCUAAAUGCGGAAGAGAUAAGUGCUGAAAGCAUCUAAGCACGAAACUUGCCCCGAGAUGAGUUCUCCCUGACUCCUUGAGAGUCCUGAAGGAACGUUGAAGACGACGACGUUGAUAGGCCGGGUGUGUAAGCGCAGCGAUGCGUUGAGCUAACCGGUACUAAUGAACCGUGAGGCUUAACCUU